UACGGGGGGGGUAAGCGUUGUCCGGAAUUACUGGGCGUAAAGAGCUCGUAGGUGGUUUGUCGCGUUGUUCGUGAAAACCGGGGGCUUAACCCUCGGCGUGCGGGCGAUACGGGCAGACUGGAGUACUGCAGGGGAGACUGGAAUUCCUGGUGUAGCGGUGGAAUGCGCAGAUAUCAGGAGGAACACCGGUGGCGAAGGCGGGUCUCUGGGCAGUAACUGACGCUGAGGAGCGAAAGCGUGGGGAGCGAACAGG
rnacentral:rRNA from 1 species